ACGAACGCUGGCGGCAUGCCUAACACAUGCAAGUCGAACGAGACCUUCGGGUCUAGUGGCGCACGGGUGCGUAACGCGUGGGAACCUGCCCUUAGGUUCGGAAUAACUCCCCGAAAGGGGUGCUAAUACCGGAUAAUGUCUUCGGACCAAAGAUUUAUCGCCUUUGGAUGGGCCCGCGUUGGAUUAGCUAGUUGGUAGGGUAAAAGCCUACCAAGGCGACGAUCCAUAGCUGGUCUGAGAGGAUGAUCAGCCACACUGGGACUGAGACACGGCCCAGACUCCUACGGGAGGCAGCAGUGGGGAAUAUUGGACAAUGGGCGAAAGCCUGAUCCAGCAAUGCCGCGUGAGUGAUGGAGGCCUUAGGGUUGUAAAGCUCUUUUACCCGGGAUGAUAAUGACAGUACCGGGAGAAUAAGCUCCGGCUAACUCCGUG
rnacentral:rRNA from 1 species